rnacentral:lncRNA from 10 species
CUGCCUAUCACUCCAAUCUCAGCCCCUGUCUUCACGUGGCCUUCUCCUCUUCUCUCCUUUCUUAGUCUCUUAUGACACUUGUCCCUGCAUUUAGGGCUCACCCAGAAAUCCAGGAUGAUCUCGCUUCGAGAUCCUUAACUGAAUUACGUCUGCAAAGAUUGUUUUUCCAAAUAAGGUCACGUUCUGGGGAUUAAGACUCAGCUAUAUCUUUUCUGGGGGGCCACCAUCCAACCGCCUACAGUGGGAAGUGCAGAGGUUACCCGGGAGACUCUCUUUCUUCUGCUAGGAACCAUUGAGCUCCUGUAGAUCUAACGCCUGGUGCAUAGAAGGCCUUGCCAGUCUUGACCAGGUCGGGGGGUGAGGUCAAGAUUCGGCACUGCUAAUCAGCUUCCAGGUGAGGCCAAGGUCGCGCCAUGUUGUUGAAUGCAGUCCCUUCAUGUUACAGAGAGCAGAGGGGACCACAGCCCGAGCCCCCUGCUGCCUCCCAGAGCGAGGCUCUCCUCAUCGUGGACUCACCGCCCUCUGUGUGCCUCGUCCAUCACAUACAUCCUAAGUGUCCCUCCCAGCCUGUGAGCUUCUAGAAGGCAUUGCAACCCGGCACAGGAGCUGACACUUACAAAUAUUCAGGAACAAGCCAGUCCUCGAAGUCUCAUGUAGGGGAAAGAUCAUGAGAUCUGGAGGUGAAGGAGUGGCCCUAACUGGCCCUAAACACUUCAAGUGCCCCUGGGCACGUGGUUUCAUGGCUCUGAGCCUCGAUUUCUUCCUCUGGGUCUUCCUCUGUCACCCAGGCUGCAGUGCAGUGGCGCAAUCAUGGCUCACCGCAGCCUCCACCUCCUGGGAUCAAGGGAUCCUCCCACCUCAGCACCCCGAGUAGCUGGGACCACAGGCGGACGCCACAGCAUCUGGCUGUUUGUAUAUUUUGUAGACAGGGUUUCACCAUGUUGGCCAGGCUGGUCUCGAAUUCCUGGGCUCAAAUGAUCCACCUGCCUCAGCCUCCCAAAGUGCUAGGAUUACAGGAGUGACCCACCGUGCCCAGCACCCCCUUUACCUCUGAGCAAUCCAUCUCUCUCCUUGGGGGCACCCCAUGAUCUAGACACCACCCACCUUGUUCUGCCUUGGCCAAAAUACCACCUAACUGCCCCCACCUAUGCCAGGUGCCCCUCACCCACCCUCCUCCACCCUUCGCUGAGUCCCACUUGGCUGGUGCCCAGGACAGGGACAGUCCCAGCCCUUCCAGCCCAUCUCCCCACAUCAGUACACUCCGGAGAGCCAGCCAAGAGUAGAUUCUUUAUUCAUUUCUCUUUUUUUUCUUAAAAAAAAAAGUAUUCAUUUGGUAUAAAAAAUAAAUAUUUUAAAUAUGAC